rnacentral:sRNA from 1 species
GCCAGAUGCAGUAGUAUAUGCCUGUUAUCCUAGCAACUUGGGAGGCUGAGGCAGGAGGAUUGCAAGUUUGAGGGCAGCCUCAGCAACUUUGUGAGACCCUGUCUCAA